AGUGAACGCUGGCGGUAGGCCUAACACAUGCAAGUCGAACGGCAGCACAGUAAGCGCUUGCUCUUACGGGUGGCGAGUGGCGGACGGGUGAGGAAUACAUCGGAAUCUACUUUUUCGUGGGGGAUAACGUAGGGAAACUUACGCUAAUACCGCAUACGACCUACGGGUGAAAGCAGGGGAGCUUCGGACCUUGCGCGAUUGAAUGAGCCGGUGUCGGAUUAGCUAGUUGGCGUGGUAAAGGCCCACCAAGGCAACGAUCCGUAGCUGGUCUGAGAGGAUGAUCAGCCACACUGGAACUGAGACACGGUCCAGACUCCUACGGGAGGCAGCAGUGGGGAAUAUUGGACAAUGGGCGCAAGCCUGAUCCAGCCAUACCGCGUGAGUGAAGAAGGCCUUCGGGUUGUAAAGCCCUUUUGUUGGGAAAGAAAAGCAGCAGGUUAAAACCCCGCUGUUCUGACGGUACCCAAAGAAUAAGCACCGGCUAACUUCGUG
rnacentral:rRNA from 1 species